rnacentral:rRNA from 1 species
UUGAACGCUGGCGGCGGGCCUAACACAUGCAAGUCGAGCGGCAGCGCGGGGCAACCUGGCGGCGAGCGGCGAACGGGUGAGUAACGCGUAGGAAUCUACCCAGUAGCGGGGGAUAGCCCGGGGAAACUCGGAUUAAUACCGCAUACGCCCUAAGGGGGAAAGCAGGGGAUCUUCGGACCUUGCACUAUUGGAAGAGCCUGCGUUGGAUUAGCUAGUUGGUAGGGUAAAGGCCUACCAAGGCGACGAUCCAUAGCUGGUCUGAGAGGAUGAUCAGCCACACCGGAACUGAGACAAGGUCCGGACUCCUACGGGAGGCAGCAGUGGGGAAUAUUGGACAAUGGGGGCAACCCUGAUCCAGCCAUGCCGCGUGUGUGAAGAAGGCCUUCGGGUUGUAAAGCACUUUAAGAGGGGAGAAAGGCUCGGCAGCUAAUAUCUGCCGGGAUUGAUGCUACCCACAGAAUAAGCACCGGCUAACUCUGUGCCAGCCGCCGCGGUAA